rnacentral:lncRNA from 1 species
GCUGGGGACGCUGGACUCUGGAGUGAAAAUGACCCACGCUCUCCUCUGCUCCCGUUUUCACCUUGGGCAUCAUUGUCAUCAUCAUUAUGAGCAGCAGCCGGAAAAGCAUUAAUGGAGCACCUGCUGUAUGCCAGGCCUUGCGCCUGCUGCGCUUGUAACGGCAAUUCUCAUGCAGCCUGCACAGCAGCCUGUAGCCUGUUUCUAUUGUUAGCUGAGGACACCCAGGCUUAGAAAUGGAGUCACCUGCCUGGUGUCCCCAGCUGGUGAGGGCUUGGGCCAGGUGCACCCUGUCUGUUUGACCCCAAAGCCAGGGCUCAGCACCGCUGGGCAGAUGAUUACUGCAAUGUCACACAUAAUGUGAAAAUUGGGAGGCGCUGAGGAAGCCUGAGGCACUGGUCCCUUUCUUCUGGUGACAUGCUGGGUGACUUUGGACAGAUCUAUCAACCCCUCUGAGUAUUCGAUGUCCGUCUUUGCCAGUCGGCUGAAGCUGGGAGACCGAGUGCCUGCGGGGAGCCUCCAGCCCCCAGUUCCUUUCAAUCAUCACCAGCGUGCCUCACACUUACCACCAGGUGGCAGCAGAGGACUUGCCUGGCCGCCGAGACCUUGGCCGCAGGAGACUUGCCGAACCUCAGCCUUAAAGGUCACCUUCACUCUUCAAGACAGUGGGAAGCGGCCGCAGCAAACAUCCGCAGAGGGCCUGGCUCCGGGAGCCUCUGGACUGCGUGCUGCCAAGCUGUGGGAGACCCACCCUGACCCCCGGGGAGCUAGUGUCCAGCAGGGGAGACUGAGAUGGGAAGACACAAAAGCCGUGCUGGAAGCCAGCGGUGUUUCUUUACCAUGAGCAGUUUUGGGGUUUCAUUUGCUUGUGUGUAAAAUCACUUGAAAAAGGAGGCGUCACUGUCUGGAAGGCCAGGGCUGUGCUGGGGUCCCUGGGGGCUCUGGCGGGGUUUCCUCCGCGCAGAAUGACGUCACUCCCCGGCUUCCGGCCCAGGUCAGCUCUUCCUAGGAAGCCUCUUGUGAAGAGCAGCCCCCGUCCCGCCCACAUCCGCAGAGGCCUGUGAGUGGGGCAGGGCGGUCGCCGUUUGCACACAGCAGCAUCUGGAGGGAUGAGCUCGCCUGAUUCCAUGCAGAAUCGAACUCAGCUCCGUGGUUCACACUUGUUUCCAGAGAUGCCAACAAGCUGCUCUUCCCCGAGUCCCCGCAGGUGUGCACCUUUGGGAAGGUAUCAGAUAGUGACCUCCUGGGCUGGGCUGUGCCUGUGUGCACCUGUCACGAGCAGGGCUGUGGGGGUGGAGAUGUUAACCAUCUCACCAGAGGAGGGCUGGACUGGAUCCAAGAAACUUUUUUCCCCCUGGGAUGGAAUUUGAAAGUGGAAAAAAAGUCACAUAAAAAUCAGUGUAGCUAAUUAACAAGAAUACAUGGAACAGUCUCCGUCGUUUUCCAAGUCUGCUAUGCUGCGGCACAUAAGUAGAGGUUGAAACAACAAUGGCAACAGCGGUGAGAAAGGAUACGGGGCCUGCUGAGAUCUGCAUCCUGUCCUUAAGGGCCUGAUGGUUUUGAAUUGUCCUCCAAGGCCACUGCCGUGGUUGGAGAGGCCGACGUGUCAUCAGCACAGCUAAAACAGACAACUCGGGAAAUAUGGGAACCUGGGGGAGACUGGAGCCCAAGUCGCUGCAAAUCCUUGAUGAGGAGACACAAGAAACCACUACUUCAAAGCUGGAGGCAGCUUCUGCACAGAACAGAUUCAUGUUUGCAUUUGGGGAUGACUGUCUGCUCACUCUGGGACGUCCAUGGUUCUGCACAUGUGUAGCCGGGGGACAUGUUUCUGUUCUUGGAAGACCUGGAAGAUUUAUAUUGUUUUAUUUUUUUUUAAUUCUUUUUGAGGCAGAGUCUCACUCUG